rfam:Capsicum annuum cultivar Zunla-1 chromosome 1, whole genome shotgun sequence
UGAUGAUGAGGAGGACAUCUUUUGAGCAUGCCUUUAAAUCUAUCCCAAGCUUGGUAGAGAUUUUCUUUAUCUUUCUAUCUAAAACUCAAGAUCUCACUCCUCAAACG